CAUUCCCAAUUUAGAAGAUUUUCCGUAUCUCCAAUCCUUGGAUCUUUCCCUAAAUAAUCUAUCAGGGCCAACCACUCACUUCAUUGCAAAUCUUAUAACUUCCUUACUCUACUUGAACUUAUCUUUUAACAAUCUAGAGGGUGAGGUUCCUGUCACCGGAAUAUUUUUAAAUUUGAGUACAGAUAUAUUAAUCGGGAACUCCGAGCUUUGUGGUGGGAUUCAAGAGCUGCAUUUACGACCUUGUGUUUAUCAAAAGACACGGAAGAAGCAUGUACUUGCCUGAUAGGGAGCUUGCCCCUAAGAGCUCUUCUGAGAAGAAAAGAACAUUUGAAAGGGAUGUUUCCUUUUUCUGGUAAUAUUUCAAACACUAGCACAAGAGAAGUUUCCAUCAGUGUUAGGUUUCCGAUUGGCAGAGUCUGGAGACAUAGUAUGGUGUAUCUCAAUGGACAAAAUGGAAGGAAACUUCUAAGAAGGAGCCACUCUAUAAAUAUCAUUAUCAUUAACCCAACUCUUGAUUAAGUAAAAGAUUAGUUAGGCAACUCUCCAGUCUCCCCUAACCUUGCGUGCAUCAGAAGGUCGUGACUUUUUCAAUCCCAGUUCAUGAGUUGGAUAAUUCUUAAUUUAUAUUAUAAAGAAAAGAUUAGGUGGAUCAAGCACCAAUGUCAAAACAAUCUUGAAGAAAAAUGCUAUAAAAAUAAAAAAAAUUCACUACAACAAAAAUAAAUUUUAGCAGUAAUAAAUAUACACAUUAACAAAGAGGGCUAAGUUUUUACCGACAUUAGUUAAUUUUCAUUAGUAAUGUAUCUAUAGGCUUUAGCGGCAUUCAAAAAGAGUGAUAAAAUGUAAUUGUCACUAGGUCCCGAAAAAAUAUAUUUAGCGGCAAUUACGCAAGCUAUCCAUUCGAACCUGUCUUUGCCUAGCAAGAUACGUCUAGUUCUCCCUCCUCUUGCCUAUCUCAGUAGGAAAUUGGAACAGUCCGAUUUCAAAGAAAGUCGUUAAUUAUUUACCUCUAAAGAUCAUUUUUGGUGUAGUAUGUUGAGAUGUCAUUGGCAGCUUGUUUUAUAAUCAUGCGUCUUAUAUCACGUAUUGGUGCUCCAAUACCAACAACGACAUUUCUGAGAGGUAUCAUCUUUUGCUUCUUGACAUUUUCCAGAAUGGAAAUUUUCACAGCGAGUUUUAACUUCCACACCUUUCUGGCUAUACAUGCUGUGUUUCUUGUGUUCCUAUUCUCAUUUUCUCUCCAACAUAUUGUAUCAGCUGCUUUUCUUGGCAAUGAAACUGACAAACUUGCCUUACUUGGAUUCAAGUCCCAAAUAACUGAGGAUCCAGCAAGAGUUUUCGCCUCUUGGAACGAUUCUGUUCAUUUCUGUCAGUGGACUGGAGUAAAAUGUGGCCUGAGACACGGAAGAGUCAUCCGUUUGAAUCUCAAAGGGCGAGGCUGGCAGGUAUGAUCUCAGAUGUAUUAAACUGGAACUCCGAGCAUUUUGGUGGGAUUCAAGAGCUGCAUUUACGACCUUGUGUUUAUCAAAAGACACAGAAGAAGCAUGUACUUCCCUCAAGCAUGAUACUUCACAGAAUGAAUAUCAUAAUAUGUGGCCUCUGCACUUCAUUAUCUUCACCAUGAGUGCCAAACACCCAUGAUCCACUGUGAUAUAAACCACAGAACAUUCUUCUUGAUGAAGAUCUCACAGCUCAUUUGGAUGAUUUUGGUUUGGUGAGACUCAUUCUUGAUGAAGAUCUCACAGCUCAGUUUAGCUCACUUGGAGUUAUGGGAACCAUUGGCUAUGCAGCUCCAGAAUACGGCAUGGUAAAUAAGGUCUCCGCUUUAGGAGAUAUGUACAGUUUUGGGAUUCUCAUAUUGGAGAUAUUCACUGGAAGAAGACCCACAGACACUUUGUUCCAAGCAAGCUCUAGUCCUCACCACUUUGUCGAAACAGCGUUGCCAGAGAAAGUUAUGGAGAUUCUAGACAAAACAACUUUUCAUGGUGAGAUGAGUAAAGCAACCAACGUCAAAGAACACUGGGGCAGUAUCAAGAAAGAAGAGAUGGAAUGCUUGGUUAGCAUACUUGAGAUUGGUGUCGCAUGUUCAGCUGAAUCCCCAAGAGACAGAUUGACCGUGACACAAGUUUACAGUAAGUUGACACUAAUGAGAGAACAAUUUCUACAAAGGGGAGGUUGAGGCCACAGGCUACAAGUGAAAGCAUUGGAUUUCAUCUAAAAUGGUUUAAAUUCUGUCUACUUGGUAAGAAUGCUAACAUUCUGUCCAGCAUGCAGAAGAACUAAGGUAGUGUCAGAUUUCUUGUUACUUAAUGGAUUUAGUCUAGAAACAUCAGAUAUUAGUUCUUAAUGUCUACAUCAGAUAAUACGUUUCAUUCAUGAAUGUAAAGAAUCAGAUGUUUUAGGAGAUCAUAA